UGGGGAAUUUUGCGCAAUGGGCGAAAGCCUGACGCAGCAACGCCGCGUGAGUGAUGAAGGCCCUCGGGUCGUAAAGCUCUGUCAGAGGGGAAGAACCACCCAACGGUUAAUAUCCGUUGGGCCUGACGGUACCCUCAAAGGAAGCACCGGCUAACUCCGUGCCAGCAGCCGCGGUAAUACGGAGGGUGCAAGCGUUGUUCGGAAUUAUUGGGCGUAAAGCGCGUGUAGGCGGCCAUUUAAGUCUGAUGUGAAAGCCCUGGGCUCAACCCGGGAAGUGCAUUGGAAACUGGAUGGCUUGAAUACGGGAGAGGGAAGUGGAAUUUCGAGUGUAGGGGUGAAAUCCGUAGAUAUUCGAAGGAACACCGGUGGCGAAGGCGGCUUCCUGGACCGAUAUUGACGCUGAGACGCGAAAGCGUGGGGAGCAAACAGG
rnacentral:rRNA from 1 species